GAGCGUUCCUAUAGUGAUUCCAAGUCAUUUAUGACUUGCUGGGACUGACAGAUCGGUCACCUGGUCAUUCGUUUUGUUAUUGUGUGAGCUUUAGUAUUUUUGAAGCUUAUGAACCUUGAACGAUCAUUUUCGAUCAAAAGUUCAAGAAGAUGACAUCAGAAUCCAAUUCUGACAAUUCCAUCAGUUCCGGAAGGGUCAUUUUAGUCUAGUAGCAUUGUCGACAUGACUCCCAAAGUUUUCAGUGUGAGUUGGUGGGAUUAGGCGUUUUAACUUUAAGUUUAAAGGCUAAGUUUGACUUUAGUCAACAUUCUGAGUAAACGCGCUCGGAUGAGAAUUCCGUCAGCGCGGUUAGCUCCGGAAUGUCGAGUUUGGUCUAGUUUGACCCUUCUUUCGGGUUUUGAGGUUUUUGAUAUUUUUCCGAGCCCUUUUGUGGUUUUUGACUUAAAAUGGCCAAUGGAAGUGGGACCCACAUUUUAUCGAGAUGACCUCUGAUGAAAAUUUCGACUGCGCCUUUGAGUCCGGAAUGUCGACUUUGGUAGGGUAGCAUAUCUAUUUUAUUUUUAUCAGGUUCCGAACGGAUUCCGAGCACCCGUCGGAGACUUUAAAGAAAGUAGGCAAAGCUGAAUCUGGUGCAGCCCCUAUAAAAACCCCAACUUUCAGCUUUAUGUUUUACUUUGGAACUUGAUAUCUUGAGCGAUACAACUCCGAAUUGGGCGAUUCAAAAGGCUAAGUUGUGAGAUUUUUCGAGGGCAACACAUUGGUGAGCUUGGAAUCUGAUUUGGGGACACGAUUUGAGGUCCGAAUCAAGUGAUUCAAGAGCCUAUAUUGUGGGGUUUUUCGUGAGGAUCGUCGUGGUGUGAUUGGUUUUGGCUGUUGGAGCUUCAUUUUUGGUAAAAUCUGUGUAUCAACGUUUCGAGGCCUUUUAGAAAGUAAAAGAUCCGGGGAGUGAAUUUUGGAGCGCGCGUGAUCUGCGUUCAGGUCCGAGCACCAGUAGUCAGCGUUGAUCGAGUUUGGAACAUUUCUAGUCUGGAGAC